AGUGAACGCUGGCGGUAGGCCUAACACAUGCAAGUCGAACGGCAGCACAGUAAGAGCUUGCUCUUACGGGUGGCGAGUGGCGGACGGGUGAGGAAUACAUCGGAAUCUACUUUUUCGUGGGGGAUAACGUAGGGAAACUUACGCUAAUACCGCAUACGACCUACGGGUGAAAGCAGGGGAUCUUCGGACCUUGCGCGAUUGAAUGAGCCGAUGUCGGAUUAGCUAGUUGGCGGGGUAAAGGCCCACCAAGGCGACGAUCCGUAGCUGGUCUGAGAGGAUGAUCAGCCACACUGGAACUGAGGCACGGUCCAGACUCCUACGGGAGGAAGCAGUGGGGAAUAUUGGACAAUGGGGGCAAGCCUGAUCCAGCCAUACCGCGUGGGUGAAGAAGGCCUUCGGGUUGUAAAGCCCUUUUGUUGGGAAAGAAAAGCAGCAGGUUAAUACCCCGCUGUUCUGACGGUACCCAAAGAAUAAGCACCGGCUAACUUCGUG
rnacentral:rRNA from 1 species